CAAAUUAAGCCAUGCAUGUCUCAGUGCAAGCCGAAUUAAGGUGAAACCGCGAAAGGCUCAUUAAAUCAGCUAUAAUUUAAUUGAUGGUACGAUCAAUGUUACUUGGAUAACUGUGGCAAUUCUAGAGCUAAUACAUGCAAACCGAAUUCCGACCGCGGGCGCGUUCGCCGCGUGACGCGGAAAGAAUGCUUUUAUUAGAACAAAACCAAUCGGAUCUUUCGUCGGGCGCGCGGGCACGCGUGAGGCGUUUCCGGUUAACUCCGCGAUUCGCUUUUCGCGCGGCGCUCGCGCGCUUCUUUGCGCGAAAGGGAAUCCGCAAAUUCUUGACGAAUCUGAAUAACCUUAAGCUGAUCGCACGGUCACGCACCGGCGACGCAUCUUUCAAAUGUCUGACUUAUCACCUUUCGAUGGUAGGCUACGCGCCUACCAUGGUGAUAACGGGUGACGGGGAAUCAGGGUUCGAUUCCGGAGAGGGAGCCUGAGAAACGGCUACCACAUCCAAGGAAGGCAGCAGGCGCGCAAAUUACCCACUCCCGGCACGGGGAGGUAGUGACGAAAAAUAACGAUGCAGGACUCUUUUUGAGGCUCUGCAAUCGGAAUGAGAACACUCUAAAUCAUUUAACGAGUAUCCAUUGGAGGGCAAGUCUGGUGCCAGCAGCCGCGGUAAUUCCAGCUCCAAUAGCGUAUAUUAAAGUUGCUGCGGAUAAAAAGCUCGUAGUUUGAUUUGUGUUUCGAGCAGUCGGUACGCCGUUCGUCGGCGCCUAACUGACUCGCGGCGAAACGUCCUGCCGGUUGACGACGGAUGACGCGACGCGAUCGUGUGGCGACGUUUGGGGCGCGAAAGAGAAGGGUGCCCGAGCCGAAGGCGGCUCGUUCGCUCUCGUUCGCUCGUCCUCGUCGUCGUCGUCGUCGCCGCCGCGUCGUCGAAGCGUGCUACAAAGGAGGGAAAAAAGAAAAAUUCACAAAGCGAAAAAAAAAAAGAAAAAAGGAGAGCGAUUCUUUCUUCGAAAAGAGAAAAUUCGCCUCCGCUUUUUUUUUUUUUUUUUUUUUUUCCCCCCAAAAAUUUUUUUUUUUUUUUUUU
rnacentral:rRNA from 1 species